GCUCUGGUGGCUCAGGGGUAGAGCGCUGCCUUGGUAAGGCAGAGAUCGUGCGUUCGAAUCGCAUCCAGGGCU
rnacentral:tRNA from 1 species